CAAGGUGGUUCUUGGGUGAGUUUUGUAGAGGGGAAUGAGAGCUUCAAGAUGGUGGUGGUGGCAUCGAAAAUCUCCACCGGAGUUGGCCGGAAUCGGCCUUGGAAAAUGGGAGAUCGCGGUCGGUGUGGGUCCUUCUUAACCAAUUAACUAACUUUAAAUAACCAACUUCAAGCGUUUGUAACUAUACCGUUAUAAUCCAGACUCAUAAACAUCUUUCGCCUAUGCGUUUGUACCAACGAGUACUACUUAAAUACGCCAAAAGAAUAAGUCACACAUUCCUCUAGACGAUGGUCAACAGAAAUCAAAAUCCUUGCCUCUAGGCAUUUUCGUCAAUUUCCUUGAUUAAAAUAAAUAAAUAAAACGAAAUUUUAGGGACAGGUUGUCACAAUACAAACCCUCAUGAAUAUAUUUUUAAGGAGUUCAAAAUAAAUAAAAUUCAUAAUCAUUAAUGCUUAAGUCUGAAAAAUGUGAAAGCAUAUAUAAACGCUCGUAAUUGCAUUCUCUACGCUUAGACGAUGGUUACAUGGUUGUUUAGAUUUUUAAAACCUUCCAAAUCUCAUGAAUAGUAUUUUUCACCUAGAGUCUGUGCUAUGGCACUCUAGCUCAAUGAUCAAGGUGCUUAAGUAUGAUCAUCGCCUAAAACAAACUACAAAUCCCAACUUAGAAUUCUUCCGAUAAAUCACAUAAUUCUAGGUUACACACAUGCACUACAACAAUCAAGAGGACUUGAGACACGUUGACCAAAAGGAAACCCUUGGUCAACACGGCCAAUGGUCAGGUCCACAACCUUAGUAAUUCAAUCUGGAAGAUCCGUAGAUCGGAUGUCUGAUCCGUAAGUUUCUAAAGUUCUUAAAUAAUACGUGUAA
rnacentral:lncRNA from 1 species